rnacentral:misc_RNA from 1 species
UGGUUCUGGCAUCGAUGAAGAACGCAGCGAAAUGCGAUAAGUAGUGUGAAUUGCAGAAUUCAGUGAAUCAUCGAAUCUUUGAACGCACAUUGCGCCCGCCGGCAUUCCGGCGGGCAUGCCUGUUCGAGCGUCAUUUCAACCCUCAAGCCCUGGCGGCUUGGUGUUGGGGCGUCCGCGCCGUCGCGCGGGGCCCCCAAGUCCAUCGGCGGGCUCGUCGGACACUGAGCGCAGUAGUUUAUUCUUCGUUCGGCCUGUCCCGGCGCUGCUUCCCGGCCGCAAAACACCCCACUUACCAAAAGGUUGACCUCGGAUCAGGUAGGAAUACCCGCUGA